UACGUAGGGGGCAAGCGUUGUCCGGAUUUAUUGGGCGUAAAGAGCGUGUAGGCGGCCAUACAGGUCAGCUGUGAAAACUCGAGGCUCAACCUCGAGACGUCGGUUGAAACCGUAUGGCUAGAGUCCGGAAGAGGAGAGUGGAAUUCCCGGUGUAGCGGUGAAAUGCGCAGAUAUCGGGAAGAACACCUAUGGCGAAGGCAGCUCUCUGGGACGGUACUGACGCUGAGACGCGAAAGCGUGGGGAGCGAACA
rnacentral:rRNA from 1 species